CUGAGAGGACGACCAGCCACACUGGGACUGAGACACGGCCCAGACUCUUACGGGAGGCAGCAGUGGGGAAUUUUGGACAAUGGGCGCAAGCCUGAUCCAGCUAUUCCGCGUGUGGGAUGAAGGCCCUCGGGUUGUUAACCACUUUUGUAGAGAACGAAAAGACACCUUUAAAAAAGGGUGUUGCUGACGGUACUCUAAGAAUAAGCAC
rnacentral:rRNA from 1 species